AUAUAUAUAUAUAUGUAUGUAUGUAUGUAAAAGCAGACUAUGGUCCUAAACUUUAGACAUGUCCUGCUUUUAUGCUCUCUGCUUCAGAUUCCCUGUAACAUAUAAAUACAGCAUUGUUGAUGCUUAGCUCAGAAAAAAAUAAAUACUCUCUUAACUUCCAAGAGAGUGUGUUGCAGCCAGUUGAAGUCAAUACAUCUUAAUUUGGUGGAAGAUGUUCCUACCAGCUGAUUGUAGUUAACCAUUCAAAGAGUUUACCAAGGGCCACGGCAGCAAAAUUCCUUCUAUUUAAGACUGCCUGGUUGCCUGUCAGGAAAAUGUGUUCCUGAGUUGGUGUAGCAACACUGGAAUCACUUUUUGGUGACAACUCUGUGGACUGACAGCCUCUAGUAACGUCAAUCUAUUAAUCUCUUGCUCUGUGCCAUAAAGUAUUCUGUCCUCCUUCCGUUAAAAGCUGAAAGUAAGUAAAUACAGGUCCCAUCAUGAGAUCAUUUUGCUUGCAUUCAGGUUGUCUACAAAGCCUCUACUUGAGGUGGACAAGCAGAAGGGCAAAAGAAGAUCUUUCCAUCCUUGGCAUAAGGCCAGCCAAGGUGUGACACUGUGAGCCUGGGGCUCGGGAGCUGCAGAGCUGCCCUGGUCAUUCUGCUUUGCUGUGCACAACAGCCAGUGUUACUGACACUGUCUGGGGGAAGGGCAAGGUGUUAAACUUGCUCUGAGCUUGGAGUGUUUUUGGACCAGGUCAGGCCAGCCUUAAGUGCUGCACGCCUUUGGGUGGCUGCCAGCAGAUCCUGUGGGGUUUUGUAACACCUAAAAAAGAGCCUGGGAAUACAAGAGCUCUUGAGUUUGCAGAGUGAGAAGAGCCCUUAGACUGUUUCCCAACCUUGUCUGCUUAAGUUACCAUCCUGUGUAAAAGAAGAUAGUAAUUAUUUACUCACAUUGUCUUCAGCUGUUGAUGUUUUACCUGGAAACGCAAUGCAGGUCUUUUAAAGCACAUAUGGUGGCUACAGCAGCCUAGAGCCAAAGCCUGUCAUCUCUCCAGCUCCCUUGCCUUCCUCUCUCCCCAGGUGUUUAGUUGGCAGAAGGACUUCUUUCAAAUUCUGGUAUUUUAUUUAAAAACAUAGACUCAGCUUAAACUCAGAGGUUUUAAACUGGUUGCAAUUAAGCUUUAACAACGGGAAGGUUCUUAGGGAGGUGCUGUGUCCCUUUGAAAUGGCUUUUUGAAGAAAAGCAUCUGCAUCCCUCCUGCAGCCAGCUGGACUGCACUGCAGGGUUAACUUUCACUGUUACCUGUGGCCUUGUGCCUCCUGACACACUCAAGGCAUGUAUGGAAGGACCAAUAAAACAUGUCCUGGAGUGUUUGGUGUAUUUUUAGAGUUUGUCCCAGAUUACUGGCCUUUGUCCCAGAUUUCAGUGGUUAGGGUAUAAGAAUGCCCGGUGGGGCAGAGUGCUUCCUGCAUUGCUCUCAGGAAGGCUUUAAUCAGGAAAAAUACCCUCUCAGAGAAGGCAAAUAAUUAAGUUUUUGUGGCAUAUACUCUACUGCCAUUAGCAGGAGAUGAUAAACACUCAAGACCACAGUUUAAAUAGAGCGAGGCAGACACACUAAGCUUUAAAGUGCAACAUUAUUGUGUUACGUGGUAUUGAGUAAUGAAUUGGACAUUACUAACAAGGCAAUUUUCCUUUUGUCUUAUUGGGACCAGAAUUUGUUUUACACCAUAAAGUGUCUGCCUUUGCUGCUCAUCAUGGGAAAAUGCUGAUGUAAACCACCUGGAGGAAGCUCAUCCCACAUGCUGGCAGCUGGCAAUGUGCAAGUGGGGAGCUAAUGUUGGAAGGGAUCUUCAGGUGUCAUCCUGUCCAUUCUCCUCCCUUUGGCAGUGUUUAAUUGACCCAUGGCAUUCCUGAUAAAUGCUCAUUCUACUUCUUCCUGCAGUGCUCCAGGCUCACAGGCAUGAUGAGUUUAGCCUGACAGAACUUCUUCCCUCCUGUAUAACCUCAACCUUUCCUGAUGUAGUUUGGUCCUUACUGAGUAUAUGGGGGAAUGAUUCCUCCUUUUCUCUCUUCAGCUUUUACCCAUUGGAAGAUCAUCUCUCCUCAGCCUGCCAAAGUCAAAACACUGAAAUUCAUUCGUCCCUUCCUGACAUUUCUAGUUGUGCAGCAUGACACUCACUCCAUUCCUUGGACUGCUUAGCCAUAUCUCAGGAGCUAAAUUCCUUUGCUGAAGUCCUGGACUCCCCAUGCCAAUAUCACUGGCAUCUACUCCUCGGCUCUGGGGAAAUUCUCUGGAUUCAGCUCUCCCAGUUAUUUUGAAGGUCUUUGGGAUGCUGAAGAGCUGCCUGAUGGACCCAUCCAAGCAAUUUCUGGCUUUAAUUUUCUUCCAUCUCAGUCUUGCCUCCUUACCUUCCUACCAACUGCUUCUUGCCCAGCUGCCCUAAUGCACUUUAUCAGACUAUUUCUUCAGCCUCAUGGCAUAGGACAUAGCACAUGUAACAAAUACUAAGUAUAAAAACUAUUCUGUUAAGAAUCUAGUCACUGGUCCAUCAGUUUUGUAGGGAGAUGGGAGUGACACAGCACCAGGACAGAGGCAGAUAAAGUUCUGCUGCACUCAGUCAUGCCUGUGAGAACCUGCUCUCCUUCCCAGAGCUCUCCAGUAUUCAACUCUUGGACAUUUUGGCAUAUUAUCAGUGAUAAAUGUAUUCACAAGUAAGAGCAGACAGCCCUGCAGGUUGUGAUGCCAGGGUAUUGUGGGUUCUUGGCAUCAGCAGUGCCUGUCUGUGGAUUUCAGACGAAUGAAACAGAAAUAUUUUUAUAGUCAGCCUCAAGUUUUUAUCUAUUUGUAGAUGUCUUGGUGUCCCCUAAAUAGGGAUUAGGUCCUUUGGCAGGAAGACUGCACUUUAUGUCUUGACUUUCCUGGCCCCAUAUCCACCCAACCUUCUCUUGCUCCUGAAGGCCACUGAUCUUGUCCUUUAUUUUUGCUACCAAAUACCACUCAUUUGUAUUGAGAAACAGGUUCCAGCAGUAGGGAAAUUAUCAAUAAUCCAGUUGGUGUAGCAAUCUGUUUCUCAUUUCUUGUGACCUAUCCUGCUGUGGGAUGAUGCACCCACAAUAAUUAUUACUGUUAAUUAUUCACCUACAGUAGUUUAAAUGCUUGCAAGUGCCUACUGACAUCAGAUGUGAAAAAAAUUCAAUAAUGAUGGAGGGAGAAGAAAGAUUUUUAAAAACCGAGGAUGACAUGAGACAAGGAUGAGAAGGGUGAAGGAUAUAUGGCAGAGGUACUGGUUGGGGGUAUUCUGGUGGCCUGGGUUCCAGCUCAAGCUUCUGCAGGAUCUCUGAUAGGCUUUGCUUUACUUAUCUCUUAAGUCGGGAUCAGAAUAGGAACAACGGACUUUAUCCACAGAAGUAAUUAAAAUGUUGCACUCCCUGGCAGCAGAGUUAAAAUCAAUUUCUCUAAUACAAGAUGAAGAGCAAUUGGCCAGGCUGCUGCCAUGUGGAAAAAGAUCUGGGACUGUGAUGCUUGGGAGUGCAGCAGAAACCCAGUGCUGCAAAAAUCCAGCAGUUCUCCUGGGAUGUCUGUUGUGAGGGGCACACUGGCAUGGGUCAGUCUUUCCAUUCAACUUGGUAAUGGCAGGAUCUUGGCUCAAGAACAAUUUCCACACCUCAGGAAACAUAUGGCUCAGCUGGGGAAAGCCCAAGGAGGUGCAUAAAAAGUGACUGGAGGUGUAGGAAACCUGCCUUUGAGGUAAAGAGGAGAGAGAGAAGUGUGUGGUCUGAACAGGGGACUGAGCUGAGACAAAACAAAUUGUCAAAUACAUGCAAGACUGAUGCAAAGAGGAGUGGCACAAUGUGUCCUUUUGCCUUCUGCAAGUAGGGUGAGUAAUGGGCUUCAACUCCAGCAGGAACAACACAGGUAAAUGAUCAGGAAAAAUUUUCCAGUGCUAUGGCUGUUGUAGAAUUGGCACUGCAGGAAUUUGUUAGUCAAAGCUCUUGCAGGAGUGGUUGAGGUAUUGUUGAUUGCACUGGGAGCCUCUUAGAGGGGUUUAUCCAACUGGUUUUUUUUUUUUAUUUUCUCCAGUUGCCACUGAAUCACUGGAAUUCAGCACUGCAGCAUUUGGGAACACCUGCCACAAUAGCACCUGCCUGUUUGUAAUCAAGAGGAUUGCAAAGCAAUCACAUGCAUAUUUAGCUGAUGUGCAGCUCCCAGGAUUGAUGGUGCACAGAAACAAGCUAAGAAAUACGUGUGCUGUAACUGUGGAAGUUGGUUAUUCUGGAGCACUGAAAAUCCAGCUUUUCUUUGACAAGGAGAUGCUGCACGUGAGAAAUAUUGCAGGUUAUAUUUAGUGUUACACAGGCACAAAGGAAAUCUCGUUAGAACCCACUGACAGUGAUCUGUUGAAAAGGGAAUAGGAGCGAUUUGUGAGCUCGUGGGAAAACAGUGCAUCUCUGUUCUGCCCUGUCCUCAGUGUCUGCUGCUACUCUAGGACACAGAUUUCUUGAGAGAAGGAUCUGUGCCUGCUUGCCCAGUUAGCUCUGAUACAUCAUAUUUUAUUUACUGGGAGACUUGAACAAUGAGCAGCAAACACUCUUGGUCCUAUUUUAAACACAUGAAAACUGCAGUACAGAGUAAUAAAAUGACUUGCUCAGAGUCACAGAGCAAUUUUGUGGCAGGGCUUGGAUCAAAAUCCAGCUCCCUUGCUCCCAAACCCGUGUGCCAGCCUUUCUCUGCAUUGACCCUUAAUUUUAAUCACCUACCAAGAAAUUCUGUUGGCCUCUUCCAGUUGACUUCCAUGGGAGUAAUGCCAGGUAUCAAAUGAAGUCACUGGGAAUAUCAAUGCAAAAGAAGCCAAUAUUAGAUGAAAAGAAAGAACUGAUGGAAGGGGAAAAAAUAGAUUUUACAAAAAAAAAAAAAGAAAGAAAAAAAAGAAUAAGUUCUAAUGCCGUUUCCAUAAUAUCAUUCCCCUUUUAAUUUGUGCCUCGUCAAAAUUAAAAAAAAAUAGAUUGCUAAUAUUAAUAGAUGAAAUGAAUCUUGAAUUUUAUAAUAGUGGAGGAAAUGAAAGGAACAAAGUAAUAUUGUGUUGUUAACUGAGAUUUUAAUAAUGAUUCUGUCCUCAGUUGGUGCAUUUAUUCCACAGAAAGUAAAUCAUUAAUGAAGAGGAGAGGAAAACAGUUUUGUGGUGAUGGAUUUUUGAAAGAAAAGUUUAAUUUUGCUAAACUUCCAGAAACUCUGAAAUGUGUCUGGAGCUCUAAAACUAAAACACCAGCACCUCAAAAACAGCUCAUAAAAGUGGGAUUUAGCCAAGUGGUUAACAUUGCCUGGGGAGUGGUGGAGGAUGUCCAUGGCUGCUCUCCAAGAGAGCUGAGAUGAGUGGAUGAGGUAGGUAAGAGAUGCUGGUUUGAUGGAGGAAGGAAGAUUUGAAGGUUUGCCGUUGGUUGGUUGCAUUCUCAUAACUAUUUCUGAAUGACACCUGGAGAGCAGUAGGACAUCAUCCUCACUCUGAACCAAGGGAAUCCCACUGGGCUCAUCCUACAUUUUUCUGUGGACUUCUGCAAGACCUGCUUCCACCAUGUCCUCUGCAGGGGGGUGGGUGCACUCAAACCCCUCUGAGUGCUGUGAGGGUGUUUGAUUUCCCAGGUGAAUUAAAAACCCACCAAGGCUAGCAUGUCCACCUACCCACCACUGUCUUCAACCACCUCCAAGGAGUCCCAAAAAAAAAAGGGCUCCCUGGAGCACCAGCCUAUUUCACACCAACUCCCCUGGUAAAAAAUGUCAAUCACGGUCUCACAAUGGUGGAGGAGAAAAGCAUCUCUGUAGCUGAGAUUUGCUGCCUAAGAAAAAGCCAAUAUGGAACAUACAUGGCUGUUUCUGCAUGAAGGAGAUAGGGGAAAACACAGAAUUCCCCAGAUUCCUUAAUGAGCACAGCACCCCAACAAUUAAUGUAGAAAUUUGCGAAUUAAACCACAUUUCUGUAUUUAAAUUAUCAAAUCAGUAAAGAGAUGUAAACAUUAAACAACAUUAUAUGAGACCCUGGAGUGUCACCACAAAAAAUUAAGACUAUGUAAUUAAAAGUACAAUGCAAUUUAUUUUUAUAUCGUUCUUCAUUCAAAUCAACAAAUCUUAUUACUUACCCAAAAAUGUAAAGCAGACUGCAAACUAAUUCAAAAGAUGAAGACAAAGUGGCUAUUGAAAACUCUAUGUUUGUUGUUCCCUUAGAUCUGGCACCAGUCAUGAUUUAAUAUUUUAACCACUGUAAUAGGUUAUACUGCUGAAGAAAAGUGCAUUAAUUACUAUGGGAAACCUAAAAAAAAAUCUAAUUAAGAAGAAUAAAAUCAUUCUUAUUGACUGGGAAAAAUAAAACUAUGUAAAGGGAAAUGAGGGAUGAAAAAACUGACAACACACAAAUAUUAAUAAAUGUUGUCUGCUCAGGGUAGGAAACACAGUUCUGCUGUUACUGGGGGUUUGGAUUUGAAACUGGCUGGAAAUCACAGUUGGCCAUGGCUAAAGCUCUUCUCUCACCCACUGGAAGCACCUUCUAAUUAACUGCAGCUCGGGAAGUUGAGUUUGCUUUGAGUUCAGCCCAACAUGUCCAUGCAGAGCCAGCCCCACUGGCUGUGUCUGAAACAACAGACUAAAGCAUGAGAUUGAACUGUGUUUCAGGGUGUUGUAUGGGGUAACGAAAGGAUUAUCUUGGCAGUUGACAUCCUUCCUACAAAAUUAGAGAGGGCAUGUGUGAUAAAGCAGCCCAGUGUCCCAAACCAUGCCUGGGGACACCAUAGGAAGGAAUCACCAUGGGCAGAUGCCACUCUGUCUUUCUACCAGCCACAGCCUUUUAAAGGAAUGUAAAAGGAAUGUUUUUAUGUGAAAUGCCUACCACCUCGUUUGCUUGGCCCCAAGGAAAGCCAUCUUUUGACUUCACCCCCAAGUAGCCACUGCAAGGGAGAACUUGCACCCCCUUUGUGUGCCUUCACAGGAUCCUCAGGGAUGCAGGGUUGCUUUGGGAACAGGUGCAUCUUGUGUCAGCCAGAAACAGCAGCCAAAAGUGUUAGGAGGUGUUCGACUAUGUUUUCCAGAUGUGAAACUAGGUGGGACCAUGUGGUUUUGUCAUUGCUGGGAUUGGACUCUGGGGCUGUGAUUUUGAGCUUCCAUCCCAAUUUGGAAUAAGAGUGUGUUUGUUUCAUGACUUUGAGCAUUCUCGUUGGCAAAAGUAGUUUUCUGCCCAACUUUACUGCCCUCGUUACUAAGGAUCCCAACGAUGUCAAAAUGUCUAUGGAUGUUAAAAAGAAGGGAGAGGAUUCCAUAGGGUCAACAUCAACAGUAAGUGUUAAAACAAAUACACAUGGUUUAAUUACUUCAGCUGAUAUUAGUAGUAUUAAUGCCUUUUCAAGCAGAAGUAAUCCUUUGAUCACUUACAUUUACUUCACAUAUGAAAUAGACUGCAGAACUUUGGCCAGUUCUUUUGUGCCGAAUCCAGUAGCUUGUACAUCAUUAAUAUCUCCAAACAUGAAAAAUUAGUGGUAUAAAUUUUGCACAGCCCUUCCAGGAUUACAAAUCUUCAUCAAAGGCAAGAAGAAUUGUCUGAGGAAUAAGGACUUCUAGGUCCAAUGAGCGCAUGGUCUGCCAGAAAGGAAGAAACUGAGUGAAAUCUUUGCAACAAAUAAUGCUAUUAUGGAUGUGUACUUGCACAGAAAGCCAGCAAAAGGGCACUGCAGCACCUCAGCUGUGUUUUGGUGGUAUCACUGACACCAAGAGUCACACAGCUUUGUACUCAAAGGAAGAGAUGAAACACCGUGGACUCCAUCGACAGUAUUGACUGGCUCUCUGUUGACUGGUGAGGGAGCCACGAGUGACUCCCUCAAGUGUAGAUUUCUGCUUUAGUUGGGUGAACCUACCGAGAGCUUCAUGCCCAUACUGUAAGACUUGGAUGCUCUGAGCAGCCCAGACUGUGGCAUUUCAGUCAAUGACUUCUAUGGCAAGCGACACCCAUCAGGAGGAGUUUGCAAUGUAAGUGGACGAAAGAAAUCGCAGGUGGGAAACAGAAAUUCCCUGUGAUCAGGAGGAAAUAAAGUCUGUGCUUCCUGCACCACA